rnacentral:rRNA from 1 species
CAGCAACGGAUCUCUUGGCUCUCGCAUCGAUGAAGAACGCAGCGAAAUGCGAUAAGUAAUGUGAAUUGCAGAAUUCAGUGAAUCAUCGAAUCUUUGAACGCACCUUGCGCUCCUUGGUAUUCCGAGGAGCAUGCCUGUUUGAGUGUCAUGAAAUCU